AACGCAGCAAAGUGCGAAAUGUAAUGCGAAUUGCAUGCUCUGCGAGUCAUCUAAUCUUUGAACGCAAAUGGCACGUCAUGUCGAGCGACAGUAUGCCUGUUUGAGAACCACAUAACCAAUCACCACUAGUUAGCGGUGUCGCUGCCUGUUGACCACGUCUCGGGCUAAAUGGAUGUGCGACGACCAGUAAGGCGUAGUGUGAUAAUCACAUCAUUGCGCUUU
rnacentral:misc_RNA from 1 species